CCCUACGGGGUGCAGCAGGCGCGAACACUUUACAAUGCGGGAAACCGCGAUAAGGGAACCCCGAGUGCCAGCACCAAGUGUUGGCUGUCCGGAUGAUUAAAAAUCAUUUGUUAGCAAGGGCCGGGCAAGACCGGUGCCAGCCGCCGCGGUAACACCGGCGGCCCGAGUGGUAGCCGUUUUUAUUGGGUCUAAAGGGUCCGUAGCCGGCUUGAUAAGUCUUUUGGGAAAUCUGGCAGCUUAACUGUCAGGCUUCUAAGGGAUACUGUCAGGCUUGGGACCGGAAGAGGUAAGGGGUACUCCAGGGGUAGGAGUGAAAUCUUGUAAUCCCUGGGGGACCAUCUGUGGCGAAGGCGCCUUACCAGAACGGGUCCGACGGUGAGGGACGAAAGCUAGGGGAGCAAACCGGAUUAGGUACCCGGGUAGUCCUAGCUGUAAACGAUGCUCGCUAUGUGUCAGGUACGGUGUGACCGUAUCUGGUGCCGUAGGGAAGCCGUGAAGCGAGCCACCUGGGAAGUACGGCCGCAAGGCUGAAACUUAAAGGAAUUGGCGGGGGAGCAC
rnacentral:rRNA from 1 species